AUGAAAAAAUAUGAUGGGGUUGAGGAACUUAUUUUUUGGGUAGCUUAUAAGAUGUUAGAGCUCAUUUCGUGUUUAUUUUUGCCAAACAAUUCUGAAGAGCUUAUAAGUUGUUUAAGGAUCCUAUAACCUCAGCCAAACCAUCUCUUAGUUCAAUUUUUGUUAUCUUUGUUAAUUCAUCGAUGAGUUAAUGUUGAAAGAUUUGACUGUGAUGCUAACUGGAGAUAAAAUGCAUAUUUUGUUGGUGGGGUACUAUUUCAUUUGUGAAGUUCUCAAGUGGUGAAUGUUGACUAAGAUGUAAGCUGAUGGGUAAAUUGAUUAGAUAACAUUUAUGAUGAGCUUGAUUGAGUAGAAAGAGAAGAAAAACACCACAUACCAGCUACUUACUAUUGGUAAAAUGAGCAAGCUUUGUUGAUAUGAUUGGAGUUGAAUGCUAUACGUGGAAAAUUGAUAAUGCUGCAGCUGGUAAAAUGAUUUAUUAUUCAAAAUAUAUAUCCAUUAAGAAAGUAAGUACCAAAUUGUUGAAUAUGCAACUUAAUUCCACUUAUUAUUAUCAGUGCAUGUUAUUUUUAGGCUGCCGGUUCUUUUAAACACAUUCCUACAUUCAAAGGAAGAUUUUACUUUUGCAAUGCUAGUUAGUACCUCUGUAGACUGGCUUGACUUAUCAAUUGAUCGAGAUAUUUGAUUGUUGCCGGACAAACUUCUAGUGUUAUUCUUCCUUUUGCUGCUGCUACUUCGUUGCAUUUAGUCUGUACUUUUUCUGAUGAGGACUGUCGCAGGUGGAUGGUUCAUUUCAUUCACCAGAAUGGCAUGCUGCUCGUUUGGCAAGUCUCAAAACUUCUCAUACAAUUACGUGGGAGGAGUACAAGAAGAAGCAAAAGGUGAUUUAUGGGAUUGUGUUCUUUUAGGAUUGCAUGUCUUGUAUCUUUCAUAAUUCUGUGUCGGUUGACCACAUUCUAUCUUUUUACUUGGUUCAAGCUUAAACGGUGCUUGUUAGCAUAAAUAUGUUAGAGCCUAACGGUGUAAUUGCUAGGAGGAAGAAAUGAGAANUCAAGUAAGAACCACCGAAUAAAAUAAGAUUAGAGAACCAUUUUUCAGUUCUUUGAUCAUCAAGAUCUACGACGGAUGCAUUAUCUUGCUGGAUGAAUGCAUCAUUUGGGUUCGAAUCUUAGAUGGAGCGAAAUUUUAUUUUUUAAGUCCACGAAAAAUAUAGUUUUCACCACACCCAAAAGUUAAUAGGAGUAUAUGCAUAUAUACUUAAGCAUAUUUUCGGCCCAAAAAGCAUACGUAUCCAUUAUUCUUUGCCCAAACCAAAUGUGUUAAUGGCCCAAUUUUUUUUUUUGAAGACCAUUAUUCUUUUUUCUUGAAAGAAGCCCAUUAUUGUAAUCUUUGUCAAUUGUCACCAAAAUAAAAUGUUUAAAUUAAAUAAACAUUGCCUUUGAAAAACAUAACAAAACAUUGGAAAAUAUAAUAGUCGCUUCUUUCAAAAUUAUUAAAAAGAAUGAUAUUAUACUUUAAUUUUAAUUUUUAUAUAAUUAUAAAAUUAAUAAUCUCAAUAAUAUUUUAUUAAGUACUAGAAAAUCAAGAUAAAUAUAUAAAAUAAAAAUAAUACCGAUCAUUGGUAUGAUAGAAAUAGAUAUGUUGCAUAUAUAAUUAUAUAUAUAAAAUAUAUAAAUUUGGUACUCCCUCCGUCCCAAUAAAAGUGGCCACAUUUCCUUUUUGGGUGUCCCAUUAAAAGUGGCUACUUUCUAAAAAUGGCAAAAGUUUACUUUAAUUAAGUCAACAACUACUCACUAAUUUGGUCAACAAUUGUAGGCCACUUUCUAAAAAUGUCAAAAUUACUCACUAAUUUGGUCAACAAUUGUAGGCCACUUUCUAAAAAUUACUCACUAAUUUUGGUGGGUCACACUCAAUUAAAACAUAACAAUCCCCUUCUUAAUCUCCGUGCCCAAAAAAAAGUGGUCACUUUUAUUGGGACGGAGGGAGUAAUAAAUUUCAGAUAAUAAUGAUAGUAAAUCAGCCCCCAAAUUCCAACCCUUGUUCUACCUCACAAAGCCCGCACAAACAACAAAACCACCAUUUUCAUCCUCAAUAAUUCUCCAUAAAUUCAUGGAAUAAAUUUAAUUUUCGGAUUCUAUGUUUUUUUUCAUGAUUCUCAUCUCCAAAUUCUUCUCGGGAAUUAUAUGAUAAAAUUGUAUAAUUUACUAUAACAAAAAAUGGGGAAAAAUCAAGCGUACAAAGCGAUGCAAAGAUCUCGGCUUGGCUCGAGCUCCGCCGCGCCGGAUGAGGUUGAAGAUGGCAUGGUUCGUACCCUUUCAUACUGUAUACUGUAGCGCGUUUGUUGAUUUUUUCUCUUUAGGUGUUGGAUUUAGUUGAUGGAGAUGCUAAACUUCAUGAUAAUUUGUGAUAUAAUUAAUGAAUUAAUUGAAUUACGCUAUAAAACUGAGUGCAUUAAAUUGACUUCGGAGGAUUUAUGAUGAAAAUGUGUAGUGACUUGAUGCUGAGAAAGAGUGUUGGAGAACUGAUAUUAGCUGGAAAAUUUUGUAUUUAGCGUUUCUUUCUUUUAUCUGUUACUGAAUUGGGACUUCACUCUGGGAAGAUUGUUAGGGUUUUGGAAAUCUUGAAGCUAUGAGCAAUGGCUCUAGCUCAGUUUGAGGUUGUAUUGAAGAAAAAAUUAGGCUAAUCUGAUUCUGAUUUGGGUUUUACUUAGGGGGUGUUUGGCUAAGCUCAUUUUAGAGAGGUUGUAUGCUCCAACAGCUUAUAAGAUGUUUAUGAGCUUCUAAAUUGUCAAAGUGUUUGGACAAAUUGAGCUUGUAAGAUAUAGAUAGAAAAUCCUAGUUUGUGAGAGAAAAUUGAAGAGAGAUGGAAUUGGAAGGGUACAUGUUAGAAAUAAGAAACCGUAGUAGGGUUGUUUUUGUAAAUUGAUUAUUGCGUAUAAGAUUAUGAAAAAAUAUGAUGGGGUUGAGGAACUUAUUUUUUGGGUAGCUUAUAAGAUGUUAGAGCUCAUUUCGUGUUUAUUUUUGCCAAACAAUUCUGAAGAGCUUAUAAGUUGUUUAAGGAUCCUAUAACCUCAGCCAAACCAUCUCUUAGUUCAAUUUUUGUUAUCUUUGUUAAUUCAUCGAUGAGUUAAUGUUGAAAGAUUUGACUGUGAUGCUAACUGGAGAUAAAAUGCAUAUUUUGUUGGUGGGGUACUAUUUCAUUUGUGAAGUUCUCA
rnacentral:lncRNA from 1 species